CAAAAGCGGAAAGAUCACGGUGACCUGGAUGAGCCAAAAAUGUUCAAAUAUCAGAAUAUGUUACAAAUUGUGUCAGAGGAAUGCAGUGAGAUCAUUCAGUCUUUUCGAAAGAUGUUUGGUGAAGACUUUUUGGAGAGUGUUGAUGUGGG